ACAGACUGAGUGGCUUAUCCCACCAUUCUAGCAAGAUGAAAGUCCAGAAGAAAGCUAUAGGAUGCAAGCUCUAGUUUACACACACUUCUAAAAUUUCUGCUCUGGAGACACAGGAUUUCUACAGUCAAGCAGACAGUGUUGUCGUUGUGGUUGCCCAGUGGAGAUGUCUAUGUCAAAAGGUGUUCCAGUUUGGACCUUACACAUAACCAAAUGUUCAUAUAGCAAAGACUUUGUGCCAACUGAAGCCUGUUCAGAGAUACAACCAUUUAUUUAGGUAACAGGAUCAGGAGAGCCCAAACCUAUGUGGAUAUGCAGAUCUGAAUGAGACAAGAUUGAGACUGCCCUGGAACAGAGCACAAGAACGGAACACAGGAGCAUGGGGAAAAACCCUUUAACCUUAACUUUAGUGUUUUGAGUUACAGAAGUAAAACAGCUUUGCUUUACCGUGUCCUUCAUCCCAUCAUGUUUAUGUUCUACUAUGACCUCAGCUCACGAAAGCCAGCUAGUUGUCGACUUGAUCAUCUGUAAUGUUUGUCCUUUAUACCAGAGAUUGUGUCUGUAUUAGUGGGUGUUGUAUUACUGUGAGGAGAUACCAUAACCAAAGCAACUGUAAUAAAGGAAAGUCUGCACUGAAACCACAGCAGGAAUUACAAUGACCAUGGUCUAUGAAUGGGCCACAGGGGAUAGAGCCAAUGAGUUCAUUUUAAACAAGAGUCUCCAAGAAGGCUUCUUGACAAGGCAAGACAAUUUGGAGUUCAUCAAUAUGUAUUACCAAGGACUUUUAUAAAAGGCACUUCAAAGAAAAUUCAUCAGGCAUUCCUUUUGUCUUGAUUUCUGUUAGACUGAUACUUCCUUUUGACAAGUAUCAAUAAAUUAUCCUCUGAUGGCUAG